UAACUCUAACCCUAACCAACCCCAUUAUAUAUAGGAGCCUCCAUACACUCCUAAACACUUUCCAGACAUCUAAAACACUCUCAAAUCUUCUUAUUUCUCUCUAAUCUUCAAGACUUUGGCAGAAAGUUUCAAGCAUUCCAAGAAAUUGAUGAUUAUGAUGAUGAUGAUGAUGAACGGAAUCUAGUAAGAUGACUAGAAACCCAUUUUUAAUUUUAGUAUUGUUGUAAUUUGCUUCUUGUUUAAUUGUUGUAUUUGCUUCAAAACAAUGUACUUGCUUUAGAAAUGAAAUGAAAUUUCGAUUAUUAAA